rnacentral:lncRNA from 1 species
ACUUCCGCUUUGACAGCCGACUCUGUUAGUCCCUGCAACAGGGGGCGCUAGAGAGAGGCAGCCAGGCAGGAGGUGGGAGCCGGGAUCUGCUUCUUCCUGUUUGUUCGCUGUCUCCUUCCUGAGGGCUUCCUGUUUCUUGGGCUCCCAUCCCAGGCAUUAUUUUUCUCCUCGCAGCUUCAGUGGCAUCUCCCACUCCCCCUCCCGACCGCCACCGCAAUUUCAGUUGCAUCUCCCCCGUCCCACAACCCCCUUCCAAUCCUUGAACCGCCAACAGCAACAGCUGGCAGGUGACCUCUACUCAUGUGUCUGAGCUAGAAGAAACUCCCUCCUCUUCCCUCAUCCAUAACUGCUUCUAAUUACCUGUCAGUCUUUGGGCUCUUCCUGACUUUUUAAGCUACCUAGCUAACUUUCCUUAACAGCUCUUUACAUGAAGUCCUGUUCUGGUAACUGGGCACUGACCCAGUAUUGGGAGUAGACAGCCACUGUUGUGAGGUCUCAGGAGCUGUCCCUCUUUGAUAACAAUACCCCCUCACCGACAAAGCCUCUCUCCCACAUACCUUUGAUACAAUGCUACUUAAUGCUCAGUGAGAGCAACCUUUGCCCUACUGUGGCCUGGACAUGAUGCUGGUCACCGAGGCAAGUGCAUGACUACAAACAGCUUUGUGACACCUUCCCCUGGGACCUAUUUGUAAGGGUCCAUGAAAUAUGACACCCCAGACUCAAAUAGUAUGCAAACACACAGAGUGCUUUAUUCUGCAGAAGUCCAGCAUGCUGGGGUCUCCCAUUACCAAUAGAGAGACAACCAAGUAAGCUUGCAGGCCUGAUUUAAAGCACAUUAGGGAAAUCCAAGAUCCAGAUGUAGACGUCUAUCUCCUUCUCCAGCACCACGUCUGCUUGUGUACCACUGUGUUUCCCACCAUGAGGAUAAUGGACUAAACCGCUAAACUCUCUGAAGCAAGGAAGGAAGAUUCACUGCUUCAUGCCAGCUCUGCCCCUCCUACUUCUCAAGCCGAGGAUCCCUGGGGAACGGAUGGAUGAUACCUGCUGUUGUUUUCCGUUUCCAGAUGAGUUCUAGGGGCUGAUUCACUGGCCAGGAUGUCAACGGUGGACAGAAGCUCUCACACACACACACACACACACACACUCUACCUUAUUUCUGAAGAUAUCAGGCAGCACCCCUCUCUACAUCUCUUCUGGAUAAAGAAAUAGAGUGUGUGUACCCCCUACCCCCACCCCACCCACCUUGACUCUUCAUCAGUGCAGACCCAUCACUCAGGGUCUAAACUGCACAUCACAAUGACCUAAUGAAAACAGGCUGCUUUUU